rnacentral:rRNA from 1 species
UACGGGGGGGGGCAAGCGUUUGUUCGGAAUUACUGGGCGUAAAGCGUGCGCAGGCGGUUCGUUAAGUCAGCUGUGAAAGCCCCGGGCUCAACCUGGGAACUGCGGUUGAAACUGGCGAACUAGAAUCUGGCAGAGGGGGGUGGAAUUCCACGUGUAGCAGUGAAAUGCGUAGAGAUGUGGAGGAACACCGAUGGCGAAGGCAGCCCCCUGGGCUGAGAUUGACGCUCAGGCACGAAAGCGUGGGGAGCAAACAGG